AACGGGCUGGACGUCAAGUGUUUACAAUACGUCAGAGGGCCAUUGAGCGAUAUCUCACACGACCAAUCAAAGCGGAACCUGAAAUCAGCGCUUGUGCAAUCGGAGACUUUGGAGCGAACAGCUUUUCCCCCCGCCCACCCUCUGCCCGUUCGCGAGAGGAAAAAAAAAAACGUCAUCUGUUUCAUACAUUUCACUUAGCUUUAGCCAACAUUAGCUUGGCGUUUACAUCGUGGCGAAACACCCAUGCUCCCCGUCAACAGAUAGUCGGUCUGUAUUUACGUGACACGAUGCCCACAACAUGACUUUGAAAGCCUUACCCCGACGUGAAGACCUGCCGAGAAGGGAAGUGGCUGGCUAGCUUUCAAUCCGUGCUAGGUGACUAGCGGCCGAUGGACGAAAGAGGCUAAUGUUUAAAGAGCGCUAAGCCUAUCAUAACAAGGCUUGCUCCUUAUAUGCAACCUGCCUCUGAAGCAACACAAAACAAGGACCGUUUGAGAACCCGCAUCUCUUCUAACAGCAUCUGUGGGUCUCUGCAGAGCUGAGCCAUGGGUGCCUUCCUGGACAAGCCCAAAACAGAGAAGCACAAUGCCCACGGUGAAGGAAACGGCAUCCGCUAUGGGCUGAGCUCCAUGCAGGGCUGGCGAGUGGAGAUGGAAGAUGCUCACACAGCAGCGCUUGGAAUCCCUGCACCCGGUCUGACCGACUGGUCAUUUUUCGCCGUCUACGAUGGCCAUGCGGGCUCCAGGGUUGCCAACUACUGCUCCAAGCACCUUCUGGAGCACAUAAUCAGCGCCGGUUUUGGGGAUGGAGGGCACCAGAGCUCACUGGCUGGUUCAGAGAGCACUACAGACGGCCCUCCGGCAGAGAUUGCCCCAACAGUGGAGGCUGUGAAAGAUGGCAUCCGGACAGGCUUCCUGAGGAUUGACGAGCACAUGCGCAGCUUCUCUGACAUGCGCAACGGCAUGGACCGAAGUGGCUCCACGGCCGUGGGUGUCCUCCUGUCGCCCGAGCAUUUUUUUUUCAUGAACUGCGGGGACUCUCGGGCUGUUUUGUACCGAAAUUCCCAAGUGUGCUUCUCCACGCAUGACCACAAGCCUUGCAACCCUCGUGAGAGGGAGCGCAUCCAGAACGCCGGCGGCUCCGUCAUGAUCCAGAGGGUGAACGGGUCGCUGGCUGUCUCUCGAGCCUUGGGGGACUAUGACUACAAGUGCGUCGUUGGCAGGGGCCCCACCGAGCAGCUGGUGAGCCCCGAGCCAGAGGUUUAUGAGAUUGUUCGGACCCCUGAGCAAGAUCAGUUCGUUAUCCUGGCAUGCGACGGAAUCUGGGAUGUUAUGUCCAAUGAGGAGCUUUGCGAGUUUGUCAAAUCGAGGCUUGAGGUAUCUGAUGAUUUGGAGAGAGUCUGCAAUGAAGUGGUGGACACCUGCCUGCACAAGGGGAGCCGGGAUAACAUGAGUGUUGUGUUAGUGUGUUUGCCCAACACUCCCAAAGUGUCUGAAGAAGCUGUGAGGAGAGAUGGAGAGCUCAACCAGUACCUGGAGUCUCGUGUGGAAGCGUUGCUGUCCCGGCCGGCUGACGAGAGCUUUCCUGACCUGGUGACAGUGAUGAGGAACUUGUCCGCUGACAGCGGCAUGCCGGCUCUGCCACCAGGGGGAGGCCUUGCCAGCAAGUAAGAGCCCCCCAUCUCCGCCAUAAUAAGACAAAGCGUUAUUGAAGCAGUGUACAACAGUCUAAGUCCGUACAGAGAAGAAGAAGGGAGCACCACUGGCUUGGAGUGUCACUGGUAGAAGUUCCUGAUCUGCUUGGUGGACUUAAACAGGAGGGGGGGGAACAAACAAACAAACAAAAAAAGUCCAGGAUCGUUCCCUACCACCCCUUUUCCCAGCAUCUUGACUCUCUUUCUCCCAGUGAGAAUUCACAGGACCUGAGAAUUCACAAGACAUGGAAUUCAAAAGGGGAAGGGUAUGUUGAAGGCAUUUUUAAAAAAAAAAAAAAAGCACACUUCUUUGUGCCACUGAAUUGAAAAACUAUGCGCCAAAGCCCCGCCACCGCCCACUUCUUGAAGACCAAUAAAAAAAAGUGAGAACAUGCCAGUCAACCAUUUCCAAAGCUUCUAGACACUCCUGACCAUGGUCUCCACUCGCUUCAAACACGAAACAUUAUUUGCCUGAAAACCAGUUCGUGGACUUUUAAAAGCCCUUAUUUAUUUUUUUUUGCCACUAAGUCCAAAAAACAACUGCUUGCCACACCAGAUCACAACCGGGACAGUGUUCAAAAUUCUCCCUGUGCAGUCCAAAAUGUCAGGCAGGUCUGGUGAAUCCUUUUUGCAUGUGCUUCCUCUCAGCUCGCCACUUUGAUAUUGAUAGGACCCAACUUGCUUAGCUGUCAAAUGGAGGAUAACCGUCGUCAAAAAUAAUUGGUCAAAUUCUGAAUAAUAUACAGAGAUCUGUCUUUUGACUUCAUUCUCAAACCCAGCCUCGUGGCCUACUCUGUGCGGAUGUGAUUUUUUUGUGCAUACGUGCUACUCUGUGUUGUUCAAAACAAAUGCACAAGGUUGUGCAUGGUAUUCUGACACAGUAACAUUCCAAAGAGGGUGUACGUGAGGGGAUUGGAGACCCCCAGCCUAUUCUUUUUGACACACACACUCGAUCCUGCUUGUGCUGCCACUUCCCUUUUUGUGAGUUGUGAAAUCAAUAAACAAAAAUGCCAAAAUGUGAGUUUA